UUUUCAUUAAGUUCAUUCACCCUAAAAAAUUUAGAAUAUAUUCAAAUUACAAUUACGAUAUUCAUGAGAUCGACACACAGAAAGAAAGUAAAAGAAUAUGUCUUAUCAGCUCAGCCAUAGUGCAGCAAAAGAAAAAUGAAUAAGACAAACUCCACUACAAGCAUGCAUUUCAGGCCUAUGGAAAUGGAAAUGGGAAUGGACAACGGUCACGCUAGUCUGCUUCAGGAGCCAUUCUCCAUGGCAUGGCGGCUUGACUUGAAGUCUUGAACAAAGCAGAACUAUGGAAGACAAUAUAUAGGGUUGAAUUUCAACCAAGGUGGAAACCUCGAAUUUCUUUGUAUUCUCUGUAGCGUAAUAACCGCGAAAUUAGAGCAUAUGGUUCCACUUCAAGAAAAGUAUUCAAGUUGCUCACCUAUGAAGGAAGAGCGUUGGUUGGCAAACGCUGUGGGAACACUCUGCACGCAUCCCCCGCGUACUUUGUGGUUCCUAGUGACCAGAAUGGAAUGAGAACGAGCUAUAGCCCAUAGGGGUGGUCUUCACUCGUUCAUGAAAAUGACUUAAAAAUAUGAGAUCUCCAAUCCAAGCAUUCAAGACCAACAAAAUGAGACCCCAGUCUUUAGCUGUUUGAUCCCAUCAGAAGAUACAGGACAACCAAAAAAAGUGUACUGCAAAAGGCUGAAAAGCUGCGUUGCAUUCCUACUUAUACCACUCUGAAUGAAGAAGACAGCAAAAUGUUGCAUAUCUCACACCAAAUCUUAUUCCAUAUUAAUCAAAGAAUAUCAGAGUUUAAGAGAACCAAAGUCGAUUGAAUGCAUUCAAUCUAUGUAAAGAUUUUUAUUCCCCAAUUAAACCUAUCUAUGCUUGUUGUUUCCCUCAAGAGAACUGCACAAAGUUGAUGUUGAUAUUAACAUUGAAUGAUGACUCUCAUAUCAUCUUCGGCUCCUCUUAAGAUCAACGACAAUCACACUGAUGUUAUCAGAGCUUCUCCGUCCCAAAGCAAGGCGAGUGAGAAGUGCCGCAGCCAAUAUGCUUCGAGUUGGAUAUAAUGCCCCAUUCCCUUCAUCUAUCUGAGACCUGUCAUUCACAAGAGGAGGAGGACUUCCUUCCUGUAGGCAUUCACAAGCUACUUCACAAGCCAACUCACUUGACAAAACAUCCCACAAGCCAUCACUUGCAAGAAUUAAGCACUCAUCUUCUGGUUCUCUUUUUGUGAAUGUAAUCUCAGGCUCAGAUGUCACAACUGGCUUUAAAUAUUUAUCCCCUGACCAAGAAGGAUAAAAAAGAAAGGUGAGCAACAAGCAUAUAAACACCACUACACUAUUCUGGAGAUCUCAUAAGCUCCCUUUUUAGUACUAUGCUCAACAAGAUAGAAAAUAAUACCAUUAAAAUAAAGGAUUCAAACAAUAUAGAAGGCAAUACCAUGUAUUUAAACAUCAAACUGUUACAUGAUGCCAGCACAAACAUGCUAAAACAUUUUUUUUUCCUUUAAUCUAUAAGACAGUAAGAUACACCAGCAUAUGUCCACUCAAAAGAAAACUGAAAUGAACUUAUCCUAGAAAAAUUGAUGGGGAUUAAAUUUCAGUAGCAUUAUUUUGUAUCAAAAGCUAAAAAUAACAAGUAAUCAUUUCAAAUUUUGCCACAAAUACAUAGUUUUACCCUUUCAGGAUAACCCAACAGAAAUGCAGGCAUUAAGAAAAUUAAUACUGUAGUCAUAACCCCAGGCAGGUGAAUGUGUAAUGUGUGUGCGCGUGCGUGUCCCUGAUUGUAUUUUGAUCUAUAUCAAGAAUUUAAUCCCAAGGUCUAAAUGUAACUUCUGCAUAAAAUCCAUUCAUUCACUACCUGAUCACAACUUUGGGGAAGCUACAUUUUUAUGCUGGAGAUUCACUAUAGAAAUUCCACACCCAUUUGAAGGGCAGCACAGCAAAAGCUACCCAAUUUCAUCAUAUAGUAAUCAUGUAUCUUCCAAGAUUUAUAAACCAAGAAUCAACAUUUAAUCCUUCUAUGCUAAUGCACCAACAUUAGUAACCAUGGCAAGAUUUCUUACAGUAAACAUGAGGAAACAACAGCAGGACAAACAAAGUCAAACUACCAACUUCUUUGUAUCUGUAGUUCUUGUCAGAGUUCAGCAUUCAACUUGGCAGCUCCAGGAUUUGACCAGAUUGAGACAUAAACAGCCAAAAAUUCCUAAUCAAAACCAACACAACUCAUUUGUAUGUUGUGGGUAGUAAGGCAGUAUUCUGCUCCCAAUACGUAGACAACGAUCUGAUUCUCAACAGCGAAAA
rnacentral:misc_RNA from 1 species